CCCCAUUGACCCCAUUGUCCCCACUCACCCCAUUGAUCCCAAUGUCCCCAUAUUGAUUCCAAUGUCCCCCCCGUCCCCAUUGUCCCCAUUGUCCCCAUUGUCCCCAUUGUCCCCACUGUCCCCAUUGACCCCAUUGUCCCCAUUCAUUAACCCCAAUAACCCCAUUGUCUCCACUGUCCCCAUUGUCCUCAUUGUCCCCACUCAUCCCAGUGUCCCCAUUGUCCCCACUGACCCCAAUGUCCCCAUUCAUUAAUCCCAUUAACCCCACUGUCCCCAUUGUCCCCACUGUCCCCAUUGACCCCAAUGUCCCCAUUGUCCCCACUCACCCCAAUGUCCCCAUUGACCCCUUUGACCCCAUUCAUUAACCCCAUUGCCCCCAUUGUCCUCACUGUCCCCAUUGUCCCUAUUGACCCCAUUGACCCCAUUGACCCCACUCACCCCAUUGAUCCCCAUGUCCCCAUAUUGACCCCAAUGUCCCCAUAUUGAUCCCAAUGUCCCCCCCAUUGCCCCCAUUGUCCUCAUUGUCCCCACUCACCCCAUUGCCCCCAUUGUCCCCACUGUCCCCAUUGUCCCCACUGACCCCAUUGACCCCACUGACCCCAGUGUCCCCAUUGACCCCAAUGUCCCCAUUCAUUAACCCCAUUAACCCCACUGUCCCCAUUGACCCCACUGUCCCCAUUGACCCCAAUGUCCCCAUUGACCCCAUUGACCCCAUUCAUUGACCCCAUUGUCCCCACUGUCCCCAUUGUCCCCAUUGCCCCCAUUGCCCCCAUUGUCCCCACUGACCCCAUUGUCCCCACGGUCCCCGCUCACUGUCCCCCCAUUGUCCCCUCCCCGUCCCCAGGUGUCGGUGCUGCUGCUGCUCUGCCCCACGGCGCCGCCCGCCGACCUCAUGGAGCCGCUCCGCUUCCUGCGCAGCCGCCGGCCCCACAGCGUCACCCUCGUCAUCGUCACCGCCCGCUCCAUGCCCAUGCCCUGGGAGCCGCGCAGCGACACGUUCCUCCUGGCCGGCUUCAGCGAAUCGGUGCUCAGGUUGUUGGCCGAAGGGGACGCCGCCGCCAUGUUGGCUCGGGUGGAGGCUGGCCCCGCCCACUACGGCCUUGCCCCGCCCACUGCCCCGCCCCCCGCGCGGGAAACGGCGUUGGCUCCUCCCCUUCCGCUGCCGGUGAUCAGGUGAGGCGCUGGGAGGACUGGGAGCAAUGGGGUCCGUGGGGAGGACCCGCUGGGACCCCCCCCAUUGGGAUCUGCCAGGACCCACUGGGAACUGCCAGGACCUAUUGGGAUCUACAGGGACCCAUUAGGACUCCCCCAUUGGGAUCCCUCCCCACUGUGAUCUGCCAGGACCCAUUGGGAUACCCCCCCAUUGGGGUCUACCAGGACCCAUUGGGAUCUGCCAGGACCCACUGGUAUCUACCAGGACCCAUUGGGAUCCCUCCCCACUGCGAUCUGCCAGGACCCAUUGGGAUACCCCCCCAUUGGGGUCUACCAGGACCCAUUGGGAUCUGCCAGGACCCAUUGGGAUCUACCAGGACCCAUUGUGAUCUACCGGGACCCAUUAGGACUCCCCCAUUGGGAUCCCUCCCCACUGUGAUCUGCCAGGACCCACUGGUAUCUACCAGGACCCAUUGGGAUCUACCGGGACCCAUUGGGAUCCCCCCCCAUUGGGAUCUAUUGAGACCCACUGGGAACUGCCAGGACCCAUUGGGAUCUACUGGCACCCAUUGGGAUCUCCCCCAUUGGGAUCUGCCAGGACCCACUGGGAACUGCCAGGACCUAUUGGGAUCUACAGGGACCCAUUGUGACCCGCCCAUUGGGAUCUGCCAGGACCCAUUGGGGUCCCCCCCCG
ensembl:lncRNA